rnacentral:rRNA from 1 species
AACGAACGCUAUCGGUAUGCUUAACACAUGCAAGUCGGACGGACUAAUUAGGGCUUGCUCCAAUUAGUUAGUGGCAGACGGGUGAGUAACACGUGGGAAUCUGCCCAUCAGUACGGAAUAACUUUUAGAAAUAAAAGCUAAUACCGUAUAUUCUCUACAGAGGAAAGAUUUAUCGCUGAUGGAUGAGCCCGCGUCAGAUUAGGUAGUUGGUGAGGUAACGGCUCACCAAGCCGACGAUCUGUAGCUGGUCUGAGAGGAUGAUCAGCCACACUGGGACUGAGCCACGCCCCAGACUCCUCGGGGAGGCGCAGGGGGGAAAUUUUGGAAAAGGGGCGAAGCCCUGAUCCACAAAUACCGGGUGAGUAUAAAGGCCCUGGGGUUUGAAAAGCUCUUUUACAAAGGAAAAUAAGGCCGUUCCGUGAAAAAAAGCCCCCGCCUACCCCCUUC